rnacentral:rRNA from 1 species
AACGUAGGGUGCAAGCGUUGUCCGGAAUUACUGGGUGUAAAGGGAGCGCAGGCGGAUUGACAAGUUGGGAGUGAAAACUACGGGCUCAACCCGUAACCUGCUUUCAGAACUGUCAGUCUUGAGUGGUGUAGAGGUAGGCGGAAUUCCCGGUGUAGCGGUGGAAUGCGUAGAUAUCGGGAGGAACACCAGUGGCGAAGGCGGCCUACUGGGCACUAACUGACGCUGAGGCUCGAAAGCAUGGGUAGCAAACAGG